GUGACCCCUGUGCCUCGUUCGUGCUCUCCUUCGUCGCCUUUCCCGUGCCCCCCGUGCUCGCUGGCCGUCGCCGGAGCCUCGGCCGGACGUGCACGGUGGCAACCGAGGCCGUGCCCCUCGCCCCACCUAUAAAUGGCCACCCCUGAGGUGCCCCGACCUCACCAAGCUCUUCCUCACUCUCCCAGGAACCCGCCUAUCCAUUUUCCCGAGCCCCGGAGUGCCUCCCUGCCGCAAACCAUCGCCAUGGCCGCCGCGGCGCUCCAGCUAAAUCCGCCCAGAGUGGAGCCCCUCCCCUCCUUCUACCACCACCAGAGACCCACCUAGUCCCCCGCGAACCUCCCUACCCUCUCAGUCCAUCAUCGGAGUCUCUGUUGCCGUCGUCCCCGAAGAUCGCCGCCGCCAGAGCCGCCUCUAUUGCCCUCUCCUCGCGGUCGUCCCGCCCCUCCCCGGUGCUGGAUGACCUUGGGGACGGGUGCGGCCAGUCCUCCCGAGCCCGUCGGUGGCCUCCGUUUGGCAGGAGGUGGCCGGAAUCGCCGGGGCCGGCGUCGGCAGUGCCCCUGCCUCUGCUUUGGUAGGGCCAGGGAGGGGAGGAAGACGACGUCUCGCUAGGCCCCACCGCCUGCCCGCGGGCCCCGCCAGUUAGUUGCUGGGCGUUGACCCAAGCCAACCCACGUGGAUAAGUGACGGGCCCCACCCCGUGGGACCCUCACGCGUUCGGCCCUGCCACUGUUCAAAUGGAUGGAUCACUGGCAGAAAAACAUCCAUAUCUUUUUAUCCGUAACUCCAAACGAGCCCCCUCCGAGAGAGAAUGAUUUCUGGCGACUCUUUCUGCGAGCUUCUCGCAUUUUCUCUCGGUGAUUUCUUCCAUCCCAAGCAAGCCACACCCUCCAUUUGCAUC